rnacentral:lncRNA from 1 species
CGUUCACAUCCAUUUCAUUAAUUUAAAUUUACAUAGCUGCCUGUGGCUGGUGGCUGUCACGCUGGGUGGCUGCAGAGAGUCAGCCCGGGCCCAGGCAUGGAGGACAAGUGGACGGGGAGACCCUGGCCUCUCCCCCAGGCAGGGGCAGCUCGGGGGCGGUGGUUGGGCAGCUGGGGCCUCAGGGACUGAGCUGGGGGAUCCCUUGGGGUCUGCUCUGUUGAUGGGGCCGAGCUUGGCUCUUGGUGCCCGUGGCCACCGCCCUACCUGCCUGGCUCCGGGUCUCACCCCAGCUUGGUGGGCAGGAUCAUCACCCGAGCUGAGCUCUUAGUGUUGGCGCGCCGCGGUCCAGCCUGCUGCAUCUCUCCCGGAUCUCUGACCGGCUCCCUCUGCCUGUCCCCGCUCCCCCUGCGCUGUUCCCCACUUUGGGGGAUGGGGGGGUCGACGUCACAUCUGAUCUGCUUGAGAGUCAACGGGGAUGUGUCCUCCUUCCAACCAGGAGGAGUGAGAGGCUGCAGCUAUCCUGGCCUGGGCCCCCCGCAGCCAGAGCUGGGGUGCAGGGACAUUGCUUUUGGAAGUGACCUCAGGGCCCAGGAGUGGGGCUGCGGAGGGAGCACCAGGAGAGGCAGACCAACCCAGGGUGCAGUUGCAAGCUGGGCCCUGCAGUGAGCUGAUGGCAGACCCCCAAAAAAGACAGGUCCAGAUCCUCAUCCCCUGCAGCCUGGGAAUGAGGUCUUAUUUGGAAAAAGGGUCUUUACAGACGUAAUUAAGGAUCUCGAUAUGAGAUCAUCCUGGAUUUAGGGUGGGCCCUGCACCCAAUGACAGGCGUCCUUAUCAGGGAAGGGCAGAGGGAGAUUUGAGACAGAGACACGCGGAGAAGGCCUGCGAUGACCUUCGGAGGCAGAGAUGGCAGUGACGGGAUUUGAGGACGAGGAGAGGCCACAAGCCAAGGAAUGCAGGUGGGCUCCAGAAGCGGACAAGGCCGGGACCCGGGUCCUCCCUUCAGAGGUUCCAGGAGGAGCUGCACCUGACACGCUGACUUUAGCCUGGAGAGACUGAUUUCGGAUUUCCGGCCUCCAGAAUGGGUGCAGGAUGCAGCAGGUCGAGGCUGAAGGUCCCGCCCUGGGACUGACUUCAUGCCCCCAGUGUUCCCAUCGAAUCAGCCCACCCUUCUGGUACCUUCUCAGUCCGGGGCCGGGAUGCUUGGAUAUCCUUGCAGUUCAGACUGGAAAAUCACAUCUUCCUGGCACUUCCACUGCAUCCCUGGAGGAAGAAGGCAUUGAAGAACCAGAGUCCUGGGUUUGAGUUCCUUACUAGCUGUGUGACCUCGGGCAAGUUACUCAACCUCUCUGUGCCUUCGUUUCCUUGUCUUUAAAAUGAGGAUUAAACUAGUUUUGACCUUGAGGGUUUUUUUUUUUUUAAAU